AGUGAACGCUGGCGGUAGGCCUAACACAUGCAAGUCGAACGGCAGCACAGUAAGAGCUUGCUCUUACGGGUGGCGAGUGGCGGACGGGUGAGGAAUACAUCGGAAUCUACUUUUUCGUGGGGGAUAACGUAGGGAAACUUACGCUAAUACCGCAUACGACCUACGUGUGAAAGCAGGGGAUCUUCGGACCCUGCGCGAUUGAAUGAGCCGAUGUCGGAUUAGCUAGGUGGCGGGGUAAAGGCCCACCAAGGCGACGAUCCGUAGCUGGUCUGAGAGGAUGAUCCGCCACACUGGAACUGAGAAACGGCCCAGACUCCGACGGGAGGCAGCAGUGGGGAAUAUUGGACAAUGGGGGAAAGCCUGAUACAGCCAUACCGGGUGAGUGAAGAAGGCGUUCGGGUUGUAAAGCGCUUUUGUUGGGAAAGAAAAGCAGCAGGUUAAUACCCCACUGUUCUGACGGUACCCAAAGAAUAAGCACCGGCUAACUUCGUG
rnacentral:rRNA from 1 species